CAGCUGCAUAAUGGGUGGGGCAAGAAGCUCAGAAGGGACCCUCCCUAGUUUCUCGGGCUGUAAAGGAGAUGGGGUGUGUGAGAAUUGUCCUUUCAGACUUGCAAGAUUCUGUUAAGGUAGCCUUACAAUAAAGUAAAAUUAGCUCA